rnacentral:tRNA from 1 species
UGGUGUAGUUGGCUACACGUUCGCUUUAUAAGCGGAUGGUCAUGGGUUUGAUUCCCAG